rnacentral:rRNA from 1 species
UAGAGUUUGAUCCUGGCUCAGAAUCAACGCUGGCGGCGUGCCUAACACAUGCAAGUCGAGCGAGAAAGGGGGGGCAACUCCCUGAGUAAAGCGGCGCACGGGUGAGUAACACGUGGGUAAUCUGCCCUGGAGUGGGGAACAACACCGGGAAACCGGUGCUAAUACCGCAUACGAUCACGAGGUCUGCGGAUCUUGGGAUGAAAGGAGCAAUUCGCUCUAGGAGGAGCCCGCGGCUGAUUAGCUAGUUGGUGAGGUAAUGGCUCACCAAGGCUACGAUCAGUAUCCGGUCUGAGAGGACGGUCGGACACACUGGAACUGAGACACGGUCCAGACUCCUACGGGAGGCAGCAGUGGGGAAUUUUUGGCAAUGGGGGCAACCCUGACCAAGCAACGCCGCGUGGGUGAUGAAGUCUCUUGGGACGUAAAACCCUUUCGACGGGGAAGAAACCGCAAGGUUGACGGUACCCGUAAAAGAAGCCCCGGCUAACUCCGUGCCAGCAGCCGCGGUAAUACGGGGGGGGCAAGCGUUAUUCGGAAUCACUGGGCUUAAAGGGCCCCGUAGCGGGCUGUCAAAUCUGGGGUGAAAUCCCGCGGCUUCACCGUGGAACUUGCCUUAAAUACUGACCGCCUUCAAGGAGGGUAGGGGCAUGCGAAACUUUAGGUGGAACCGGUAAAAUCCCUUGAUAUCUACGGGAACUCCGGGGGCAAAAAGGGGGUUCUUGGACCGUUUCCUACCCGUAGGGUCCAACACUUAGGGAACAGACGUGUAUCGAUCCCCCGGGAGUCCUAUCCCAAGGCAGGGGAAUGAAUAGUGGACCAACUGUGGGCUUUCUUGGAAAAGUGAAAAGGGAAUACGCCGCGUGGGGAGAG